rnacentral:misc_RNA from 1 species
UACGGUUGCUGUCGGUGGGGCAAUUCUGUCCUGCCAGUAAUUGCGGCUUUGCCUGCCUACGGAGGAGCAUCAGUUCUACCAAUCAUAAAACCGGUUUCGGAUUGAGAUACGUGGAUUGAAAAAUAUGGAUUGGGAAGUUUGGAUUGAUAUAUAUGGAUUGAGAGAUUCCGAAGUUGCAAUAACUGGUGGCUUCGAUGGGGAGUGGCCGUCCUCCCGUAAUUUUAGCACAGAGGUGCACAAAUUUAUAAUGCUGGGAUAUUGAGCCAUUGAAGAUGAUUGUGAUGCUACGUGCAGGUGAAGUGAAUCGGGAGUAAGUGUCCUCCCUUCAUUGCAGCUUGGUCUGCCUACGGUGGAGCAUCACUUCUGCCAAUCACAGUGGGACAUUGUCCUGCAUUCUGGCCAUGCACGGAGUUAAUAGCUCCACUGCACGGUCCAUUCUCACCGGGGUGCCUACCUGUCUUAUGCUCAUUUGGUAUGCUCACACUCUAGUAGUGUCAGUCCAAACCAGGGGUGACGGGAUGUACUGUCAACAGUGCUAGGUUCAAUGAGUAGUGUCAGGGCUACGGCUCAGCUACCGCCCCGGGUUAGUUCAACACAACUUUGCAUCGAUGGUACUUAUUACACAUCAAUCUUUCCGUGCCCUUGAUGUAAUGUCAGGGCAGCAGACUGUCGCCUUGUGUUGCCUAGACCUUGGCUGGGACAGUCAAAUUAUGCUUUGCUCAUCCGGCUGUCUGGGUGUGUGAAGUAAGUACAACUUUGAGCGGUGGAUCACUCGGCUCGUGUGUCGAUGAAGAGCGCAGCCAACUGUGUGAAUUAAUGUGAACUGCAUACUGCUUUGAACAUCGACAUCUUGAACGCAUAUUGCGGCCACGGGUUAGCCCGCGGCCACGCCCCUCCGAGGGUCGGCUUAUAAACUAUCACGACGCCCAACAAGUUGUGCCCAGGGUCUUGCCAGCUGGCGUGAUUACUCUUACUCGCGAAUUCUAAAGCUUGUGAGGGGCCAGAACUAUGGCUUUUCCCCAAUGUAUCCGGACACAAUCACUUUGGGGCUGUCAGCCAAAUGUUGAAAUGUGGUGACGGAGUCGUGGCAUAAUUAUUCCGGUGAAGCACGCUCUGGGAAAAAUUAUCACUUUCUACGUUUGCAUGCUAGCGAGA